GACGAACGCUGGCGGCGUUCUUAACACAUGCAAGUCGAACGAAGUGGCGAACGGGUGAGUAACGCGUAAUCAACCUGCCCUUCAGAGGGGGACAACAGUUGGAAACGACUGCUAAUACCGCAUACUGACUGAGGGGCUUGCGUCUGAUUAGCUAGUUGGAGGGGUAACGGCCCACCAAGGCUAUGAUCAGGAGCCGGUAUGAGAGGAUGAACGGCCACAUUGGGACUGAGACACGGCCCAGACUCCUACGGGAGGCAGCAGUGGGGAAUCUUCCGCAAUGGACGAAAGUCUGACGGAGCAACGCCGCGUGAGUGAUGACGGCCUUCGGGUUGUAAAGCUCUGUUAAUCGGGACGCGGUACCGGAAUAGAAAGCCACGGCUAACUACGUGCCAGCAGCCGCGGUAAUUC
rnacentral:rRNA from 1 species